CCUACGGGAGGCAGCAGUGAGGAAUAUUGGUCAAUGGGCGAGAGCCUGAACCAGCCAAGUCGCGUGAAGGAUGAAGGAACUAUGGUUUGUAAACCUCUUUUAUAUGGGAAUAAAGUGAGGAACGUGUUCCUUUUUGUAUGUACCAUAUGAAUAAGCAUUGGCUAACUCCGUGCCAGCAGCCGCGGUAAUACGGAGGAUGCGAGCGUUAUCCGGAUUUAUUGGGUUUAAAGGGUGCGUAGGUGGUGGUUUAAGUCAGCGGUGAAAGUUUGUGGCUCAACCAGAAAAUUGCCGUUGAAACUGGGGGGUGUGAGUAUGUUUGAGGCAGGGGGAAGGCGGGGGGUAGCGGGGA
rnacentral:rRNA from 1 species